GUCCACGCCGUAAAACGAUGUCGAUUUGGAGGCUGUGUCCUUGAGACGUGCCUUCCGGAGCUAACGCGUUAAAUCGACCGCCUGGGGGAGUACGUUCGCAAGAAUGAAACUCAAAGGAAUUGACGGGGGCCCGCACAAGCGGUGGAGCAUGUGGUUUAAUUCGAUGAUACGCGAGGAACCUUACCAAGGCUUAAAUGUAGAUUGACCGUUUUUGGAAACAGAACUUUCGCAAGACAAUUUACAAGGUGCUGCAUGGUUGUCGU
rnacentral:rRNA from 1 species